UUCUGUUUAUGUCGUGUUUUGACUUACCACGUGAAUAUCAGAGAAGCCACAGCGAGCUGUUUAUUGGCAGAGGAUUUUUCAAGGUCUUGUCUUGAGGCAACACAGAGACACCCACCAAGAAAAUUAGCCGUUACAUGGGCUAACACCAAAAGGAUGCACGCAGCUAAACCGUACUUGAAGGCUGUGUAACUCGGGUCUCUACACUCGAAUAUCCACAUCUUCAAAUGCUUCACCUGCACCCGAAAAUAAACAAAUUAGUGAAAUCUGCAUCUCCUAUCGACUUGUGGCUGUGUAAUGUACCUUGUUCUGAGCUAUUUCGGCUUCAAUGCCGAGAAUUCCAGCCGAAACAUCCAUGGCUAGGAUCAAGAUGCAGAUGAAGAACCCUACAUUCCUCGCCAUUGUCGAUGAAACAAGUUCUUACUAGCAAACAAAGAAGCAGAAAGUAUUGUUGUUGAAGU